GCAUUAUGAGCUGGGUGAUGUGAUGGAGGUGUAUGUGCUUAUAUAUAUACAUGAUUACUAUAUAGAUAUGUUUGGAUUUAAAAUGUUAUCGCAUUGACUAUUGAUAACUUGAGUAUUGUCAAUGUGUUCAAUUUGAUUUGCAACGUGGCGAGAGUGGAUUUUCCCAAUGGCAGUGAGUACCCCUUUGAUUUUAUAUGGCUAGAAUCUCAAUGCAGAAGAAAAUGCCUUUUUGCUAUGGUGAGAGUCAAUCUAUUGUGUUUGACUUACUUGAAGUUUACUAAAGCUUUCACUUCUCAAAUUCUUUGUUGUUCAUGAGUCUUUCGUUAUUAAGUGACUAAAAGAUCAAGAUUUUAAAUGAGGGGUUUCUAAUAAGGGUUAAGUUAAACUGCAUUGUUUUGAACUUAAAUGCAUCAUGAUUAUUUUUAAAACCUUCCUUAACGUUGCUUGCUCCCUUCCUAUGUUCACCCACUAAGUUUAUACUCACAUUUUUAAAAUUUAUGUUUUAGGUUUCUUGAGUUAAAGGUGAUUGGAUCCUAAGAUGAGGUGAUCCUCCCUAUCCAUUGCUCGGUAGGUUUAACGUGGCACUAAAUGUUAGCAACCGUGCCCAAAGUCACUCCGCUGACGGUCAAGGUUUAAUCAUGUGUAUAUGAAUACUUGGUGUGAAAUACCAAGAAUCAUUUGUUAAUCUAUAUAUGAAUAUAAUGGUUGAUGAUACCAUUAUGAAUGCAUGAUUGGGUUUUAUGAAUUGUUUUCAAAGGAACGGUAUUUGAACAUUACGAAUUUCAAAUUCUAAAAGAAUAGGAAUUAAUGUAUAAGAUCAAUUUAGAUACGUAGAUUGAGGUGUCGUACCCACAUCUUUUGGGUCGGUAUCUUGACACUCAGUAGUCACAUCUCCCAUCCAGAUCCACUACGCUAACGGUCA
rnacentral:lncRNA from 1 species